AUGCCCACUUCCUUCCCUAGCUGAGCACUUAGCAUGAUACUCCUUUCACUACUCCGAUGACAGAAGCUGAGGGCAAAUCAAUAAACAAAUUGGAUUAGCUGGGACCCGGGCGAUUGCAUGAUGCUAUGUGCCCCCCGAGUCGCACAAUCUGGUCACUAGCUGUACAUCCUUUACUUUCUAGAGUAAGUCACAUGGUAGCUACGCUGAGAAGAAGAAGAUCCUUCUGCAGGAGUGGACUUUGACUUAAUUCGGAACUUGGCCCAUAAUGCAAAAUGGAGUAUUACCCGCUGGUGGAUUUUGCAAAUAGAGCACAUCUAACCUCAAAACUUUUAAAGUACACACAUCAUUGAGAGCAAA